CCUCGUGUACUUCACCGAUAUAGCGCGCGCGUGCGUGACCAACGUCGGUGUGCCCUCGACACCACGGGCCGGGGUAACAUGGCGACUGCUCGGCGUGGUUUAGUCGAUUUGCGACCAUCGGCGCGUGUAGAUCAAUGAGAGAGGGACGACGACGUUGAGUGACAGUUCUUCUUCUACCGCUCCGAUUCUCACACCGAGAAUGGCGCCGACUAUUUGCGUAGCGGAAUUCCCGAUGGCGGGUACCACCGUUAGCACCCUCGUUCGCCGCCGACGAGGAUCCGAAAACGGCGCGAAACGGCGGAGAUUAGCGUUGGAAGAGAUUAUGCUGCGUACCGGGACGAUCGUCGAAACGCUCGUACCACCCGGCGAACAUUGUUCACGGAGACUCGACCACGACGUGGAUACGGUCCCGAAUUGUUCCGUCGUGAAAGCGGACAGAAGCGAGGAGCACCCGAUGAAUGUGGACGAGAAUUACAGACGACACGUUGCGGAAAGAAGAAAAGAUCUCUUGAGCAUUGUCAUACGCACGAUAAUUCUCGUGCGGCGCAAUCGUAUCCUCCAGAGGCGUCUGAACGCGUUGCGGGCGGAAACGCGACGGUUCCUCAGUUCCGUGUUAAAUAAUCCGGAAGGUCAGCAACGAAGAUCGCGAAUGCCGUCGCAUUCGGAGGACUCGUCCCCCACGAAGAAAGCCGUCUCGACGAGAAAUUCGUUUCACGGAGCCACCUACGGUUGCGGUAAUCGCGACCGCACCAGUGACGAGUCAAGUUCAUCCGAUAAGUCCGAAGAUUCGGACAGGAGCGAAUGUUGAUCUUUCACCACCCGAAGAUUGAUAACUUCUCAAUCGGCGCGUAAAUAGACGGGUCCCAGUGUCUAUAAGAACUCAAGUAUCAUUAGCUUUCACGUACGGAGUACUCCAGAAUUAACGGAAAGUGAACUUGCAACGUUAUCUCUUCGUGAAAUUUUUAAUUUUUUUUGUUUGCCGGAGAAAUUUGCAUCAAUCAUCUCUUCGAAACUGGAAAUUGAGAAUGAAUGACUUUUCGGAAAUUAAGCUUUAAAGGCGGUAAUAAGUGACGGGAUUGACAUUCGCAAAUGAUGAUUGAUAAAUAAUUAUAUUUGUCGCGCGUUGUUGAGAACGCGAAUAUGAAUUUAACAGAGUUUAAAUUUGAGACUCGAUUACGCCGAAUAUUAGAACGUGAGGAAUGGAGAAUGAUGCCAUUCUUCGAUAAUAUCGAUAAAAAAAAAAGUGACUUUCUUCUACUUCCAAUUUUACGGAGGAAGCAAUGCUAUAUUUCCAAUUUUGUCUAUUCUGGAACGCUCUCUCCACCUUCGUAUUCACGUUACGAUAUCUAUAGUAUUUAGAGCGAUAGAGAUUUCACUGAACAAAUAAAUUGUUUCGCGUUAACAAGUUCGAUCCAAACUGUAGACUAAAGAAUUUAAUGCUGCGCUGAAAUGUCAGAACGAAGCUUUCGAUGAGAGAGACGAGCGAUUUCGCUGUGCGCGGCAAUUUGUAUAAAAUAAGGGGGAACCCGAUGUAAUCGCGUCUUAUUACAUAAUAAUUCCGAGAUAUAGCGAGGAAAAUUAUUCUUGGAUGUUAAUAUACGCAGGCAGAACUCGUGCACUUUUUUCCAACGUUUAAGACUUUCACUGUUUCAGAUAUCGAAACAAAUGAGAUUGCUCCUUUUGGAGGAUUUAAAAUUAACCGUGUGUGUCAGAGCGACAAGUAAUCCUUUGAUUAAACGUCAGAUACUUGUUAAACGUUUAGAUGGCAUAAGCACUCAAACAAGAGAGUGUUAGUAUAAUCGCUUCGAGUAGUGUAAGAUACGGGAAGAACGCCAUUAAUUAAUCUAGUUCAUUAGGAUCGUGGCAGUUAAGCCUUACACGAUUUUUCAUUGGUAAUCGAUUAUUGAGAGGUAGAAUGGUGGUUACGGAAAUCAGUCUGCUAUUGACAAUGCUAAUUAAUGCUGAAGUAAAGGAACGAAUAAUGUUACAAUGUUAUACACAAUUCGAUUUACAAGUUACACGUUAAAAAGCUGUUUUGAAUAAUCGAAACACUUUGCAAUGCUAAUUUACGCUUUGAUUUCCGGUGAUUUCCGCUUAUCGCAGAAUAGAACAUAGAAACGUUGCAGAAACGUUAUAAUACAUUUCCGGGCCGCCCCGUUUAAAUUUGUAAUUAUCUGACGUUUAUUGUAUCUUGAAAUAUUUCUACAACUCCCGAAGGUGGAGGGGAAGGAGUUACAUAAAUAUAAAGAAAAUGAAAAAAGUAUGAUGGUAUCCAACUAAAGAGCAGCUGAAUAAAAACUUUAACUGAUCGCUGCUGGUUUGAGUUGGAAAAAAAAUUUUACGAAAUUUUCAACUCUUUUUCAUUAUUUCCAAUCGUCAACGAUGCUGAAUAAAACAGUUGACGAAAUCGAUUUUAAUUACCGUCAGCUUAUUUAUCUAAAUAAUCGAGAUUGCCAUUAAACGGCUAAUGUUUCGAAAUCAGAAGCGGUAAUGAUGUAUAAUGUAAAAAUGUUACAAUUCUCGUAACAUUUGCAAAUCCUCGUAACAUUACUCGUACAAUAUUGUUUCGGUAUAUACUAUGUAAUCAUGAUAAUAUUAGAGUCACAAAGUCAGUUGAAAGAAGAUUUUCUCUCGGAUUUUUUAUGGAACAUUAGUAUAACAUCCGAUCUAACAAUUUAAACAUUAAUCGAGCGUACCCUGUUACUAUUACAUGGCUGUGAAGUCUGUAUUUACACCCACAUUAUCUUCUUUGCAAUAUUUUACCUAACUUGCGUGGCUGUUUUGUCAAACGGAUUUCUGUAGCUGUACUAAGAUACGUAAUUUUACGCGAUUUUUAGUUUUAUAUGUGCGUGACAGUUGUCAUUGAUAAUCACAUAAUCGUUACGCGUCGAGAAAUAUGAUGAAUUCUUUUUAUGAAAAAGAAAGAGAACGAUGGAAUUGAUAUUUACGGCAGAAAUUAACACCAGGUCACAAUAGACUUAAGUCCAGUCGUGAAUAAAUCUCCAAUGCUUAUAAAUACAGUCUAAUACUUUUCAGCACUGACUACUUUUUGUGUUUCAUAAAAAAUGUAAGCUAGGAUCAUCAAUUGCAUGCUUAAGAUUAGCUUUGUCAACAAUUUUUAUGUGAUAUUUUUCCAGUAAUUUGGCGCACGACGUUCCAGCUUGACGUAUGCAAAAUUUUUGGAAAUUUUAAUUUGAUUUCAAUUUGACGAUUAUUUCACGAGUUUAGCUAUUAGCAAUGAUGAUGUAAGUAUAACAUUAUAAAGAAGAGAUUUGAUAUCUCUGAUAAGUAAUAAAUCCUUAUUUAUUUUAUGAUCGUAGUGUAUUUUGAGAUAUCUAUAUAACUAACAAAUUGAAAGCAAUGUUAAUACCGCAUUUAAUCUAUUUUAGAAUUGUGUGAUAAAAUCUCAUAGUACAUAUAUAUAUAUUUCAGGAAUAUAUAAUUAAUAACUUCAUACUGAAAGUCAUGUGAUAAAUAUCCUUUUAGCAUUAUUCAAUCAAACUGUAUGCGAAUAGAGAGAAUUUGUGCCUAAGGUGCAUGUACGCCACACUUUCCAAUCACUGGAGCAAUACAAAUAUACAUCUAUAAUAAGCGACGAUUAGAUAAUAUUUAGAUUCAAUGUAGUGAUUAGACCUAAUGUCUGUCAUAAUAUUUACUGUAUUUACAUUAGAUAAGAAUAUUUUAUUGUCGACAUGAUUACAAAACAUUUUAUGAAUUUGAUCUUACAUAUGAGAUGGACAUGUGCGUAUGUGUAUGUGUGUAUGCAUGCAUAUGUGCGUGCGUGCAUGCACGAGAAUAAACCCAUUAUACAUUAAAUACAU